ACAAGUGUUUGCAGAUCUGCUUAUUAAAGGCUUACCACCCAGUGUGUUUGGAGAACACACAGUCGACAUGAAUUUUAUGGUAUAGUUUAAGAUUUCCGGACAAUAAAGGGCCCAAGGUUAAAGAAUUUGUUUCAAAACAGAAAGGUACGUUGUGGCUGUCUGAUUCUAUCGGCAAUUGAGCUGUGACGAUGAAACAUGUUCUAUGUACCAAUAUGUGAUGAAACAAAUAAACUAGAAAGUAUAAGGAUAAAAGUAAAGUUGAGAUCAAGGGGGAGAAUGUUAGGUUGAUCUCUUCCCAAUCGAGCCCAACGGCUCGACGGGCCCUUGACCCGAGCCCUAAUCGGGGGCGCCGAACCUAACCAAAGGCUGGUGGGCCCCUGUUGCCGCGCUAUAUAAAGGGGUGGGGGAGCCAGCCGCACGCGACACGAGGUUCACCGUGCGCCGCAAUCCCCACCAAUAUCCCUACCGAUCUAGGGUUAGCGCGAUGCGAUGGGAAGCUCAACCACCGCCGCCACCCACGCACAAUCGCGCUCACGCCGUUGCCACAUCACGAUGACCUUCGGCGCGAGCUCGUCAGGUCAAGGAGGAGCAUCCAUGGUAACGAUAUCGUCCACAUGAAUUCCACGGUCAAAUCAGACACCAAGCUGAUGAUCUCCAUUGACAUGAGAGACAAGACAUUGAAGACAUUAUCACCGUGUCCUCUUGCUGGAACGGACGCCAAUCGUCCCCUUUUCCCUUGCGUGUUGUCGAAUCAUUUGAGCAACACUCCAGUGAAAUCUCAUCCAGGAUACCCUGUGGUUAACGGAGCGGCCUUUGGGCGAAUGGUGGAUCCACUGAACAACCGGCCCACGUAUCAGCCUCCGCCAAGGUCCUUCAACACGCAUUUGCCACCAAUACCUCCUGCAGUGGCUAGAAACCCUCUUCAGCCGUCAUACCCAGUGUUUAACACAGCCGGCUUUGGACGGAUGGUGCGUCCACUUCCGCUGAAUGACUGGCGCCUGUUUCACCCUCUGCGACAACUGCCUCCUUUGCCGCCGCCACCACCAUUCAGCACGAUGUUGUCGUCACUUCCUCCUCCAGCGGAUGCCAAUUAUGUUCUUGGCAACAGGCACCGGAGCCAACAUCGAUACUCACCCUAUGGACGACCCUGUUAAAUUAUAUAGCCUACUUUUUAGAUGAAUUUGUUGAACCUUAAGUACUUAAAGACGUAAAUAUCAGACAUAUUAAUGGAUUCCUGUUGUCAUGCCUGUAGUGUUGUUUAUCAUCUAUCAUGCA